AUUCAUAUAAAUGGAUUGCUGUUAGUAAUUCCACCUGCUAACUGAGAUAGAAUAUUGCUGGUUGAAAACUAUUUCCAAACCCCCUCUUAGGCCUUGGCUUGUCCGGGGCCUUCGAGAAUUUCUGGAAGGGCUCCCUUCGGGGUAAAGCC